rnacentral:rRNA from 1 species
UACAGAGGUCCCAAGCGUUGUUCGGAUUCACUGGGCGUAAAGGGUGCGUCGGUGGUGAGGUAAGUCGGAUGUGAAAGCUCGGAGCUCAACUCCGAAAUGGCAUUGGAAACUACCUUGCUCGAGGGUUGGAGGGGGGACUGGAAUACUUGGUGUAGCAGUGAAAUGCGUAGAUAUCAAGUGGAACACCAGUGGCGAAGGCGAGUCCCUGGACAACUCCUGACACUGAGGCACGAAAGCUAGGGGAGCAAACAGG